rnacentral:rRNA from 1 species
UACGGAGGGUGCGAGCGUUGUCCGGAAUCAUUGGGCGUAAAGGGCGCGUAGGCGGCUUCUCAAGCGUGCGGUGAAAGUCAGGGGCUCAACCCCUGAUCGGCCGUGCGAACUGGGGGGCUGGAGCACUGUAGAGGCAGGCGGAAUUCCGGGUGUAGCGGUGGAAUGCGUAGGGAUCCGGAAGAACACCGGUGGCGAAGGCGGCCUGCUGGGCAGUGGCUGACGCUGAGGCGCGACAGCGUGGGGAGCAAACAGG